CGCGGCCCACCCUUCGAUAAACUCAGGAGGGCCGACGGCCGGUCGGCCUUGCGAAGCUUUGCUUCGGGGGUGGACUUCUGGAUCGCGUAGCAGCGUUUGCGUCGGUAUCUGGGCUUGUAGCUCAGUUGGUUAGAGCACACGCUUGAUAAGCGUGGGGUGGGAGGUUCAAGUCCUCCCAGGCCCACCAUGUUACAUGAUAAGGGGCCGUAGCUCAGCUGGGAGAGCACCUGCUUUGCAAGCAGGGGGUCGUCGGUUCGAUCCCGUCCGGCUCCACCAUCGUGUUUUGGUGUAGAGACGGAUAUUGGCAAUCAACGAAAGAAAGAAACAAGUUUGCGGACUUUUAUGAAAGUCUGCCUGUUCUGUAUGAAAUCGUGAAGAGAAGAUGUAAUCGGAUCAACUAUCCAGUUGAUGUCGCAAGAGCUUGCUCAAGCCUUGCAUUAUGAUUGAUGUGUUUAACCGCCAUCAC
rnacentral:tRNA from 1 species